AAUGCCUCGAUUAGAUAUCUGUAAAAGACAAUCUAACAUAGUGUAGAUCACUAUGUUAGAUUGUCUUUUACAGAUAUCUAAUCGAGACAUU